rnacentral:rRNA from 1 species
AGCGAACGCUGGCGGCAGGCCUAACACAUGCAAGUCGAACGAACCUUUCGGGGUUAGUGGCGGACGGGUGAGUAACACGUGGGAACGUGCCUUUAGGUUCGGAAUAACUCAGGGAAACUUGUGCUAAUACCGAAUGUGCCCUUCGGGGGAAAGAUUUAUCGCCUUUAGAGCGGCCCGCGUCUGAUUAGCUAGUUGGUUGAGGUAAUGGCUCACCAAGGCGAAGAUCAGUAGCUGGUCUGAGAGGAUGAUCAGCCACAUUGGGACUGAGACACGGCCCAAACUCCUACGGGAGGCAGCAGUGGGGAAUCUUGCGCAAUGGGCGAAAGCCUGACGCAGCCAUGCCGCGUGAAUGAUGAAGGUCUUAGGAUUGUAAAAUUCUUUCACCGGGGACGAUAAUGACGGUACCCGGAGAAGAAGCCCCGGCUAACUUCGUG